rnacentral:lncRNA from 1 species
AACUUCUAGAGCGCAUGCGUUUCGCCCACCCAGGCCCGGGCGCGGUUAGGGGUGACUCCCACGAUCCCUAGCGGCUGCAGAGUGGAACAUGGCGGCCUCCUUGCCGCUUGCGUUACCAGAGUCCACCCGGCCUCGUGCUUUCUCCGGGCGCCCGUAGCUGGCGCCGGCAUCCACAAAAAUAGAUCAGACAGAGGAUGAAUAAAGAGGAAGCUCCAGGCUGUGAAGCGUCUAGUCCUUGCUCCCCUCAGAAGCUGGGACAUGUUGGACCAAGGUGGUAAGGAUAGUGAGUUUCCCAGAAGCUGGACAAGCCACGACGGCGCCUUCCAAUAAAAGGGGAACUCCAGAGACGCUAUGAGAAAAGAGGAACAGACAUCUGCAAUAGAUAUCUGCAACUUCCUUUUCAAAAACACCAUCGGCAUUGCUUUCUCAGGAAGCCACUGCCAGCCUAUUGUGAUAGCUGACACUGAGUUCCUGAGAAUUCUCUAAUUAGGAUCCCAGAUUGGAGGGUCAGCCAGUGGUUAACAUAUAAUGGACACAAAACUGAUUUUACUGGAAGACUGAGGGUGGGCACUCACCAUGGUUCUAAGCAUUCAUUACUCAGAAGAUCCAUAAAAACAUUACAGUUCUGUUGUGUAAGAGUUUAGGAAAAAAAGAAAAUCCUGACAAAAAUCCCAACCUAAAAAACAGUGUCAACAUUUGUAAGUAGGAUGGGGAGGCAGAGAUGAAUUGGCAGUGUUAUCACAGCUACUGGACUAUGUGGACUUUAACAAAGUAAGAAACGGGUGGGGGUUGGGUGGUGGUAUCUUAAUAGAGCAGGAGUAGAGACGGAUGUCCUGGGGCAGAAUGGGUACCAAUGCUGCCUGAAGCCUGGAGCUGGGAGCUGAGGACUAAGAGGUAGACAGGAGGGUGGGGACCGGUACCUGCUCCAAGGAACUGGUGCCCCAGAACUGGUGAGCUGGGGUAUGCAUUUAGCUCAUUCGUUUACCAGAAUGCAGUCACCACCUGAUGAAAGAAAUGACUAAUGGCAGGACUUGAACAGUUCUCUAUAAAUGAGUACCUGGGAGAAAAACAGGUCUCCAGGCUCCACAAUACCCAAUAAACACACUGCCUUUAGCCCACUUCAAGCUGCACUUCUUACAUGGAACCCAACCCAACCAACCUCAGAGGUAAGGGUGAGAGCAGGCAAUGAACAGCUAUGAUUCUCCAUUCCCUGGCCAGGCAGGGAGCCUUUCCAUCCACCCUCGUGAGACUGCUUGUAACAGAAAUAAGGAAACCGACUCCAAGGCUCAGUAACCCACCCAAGGUCAGAACCACGGAGUGGCAGGGCCUGUGAGCCACAAAGGAGACUGAAAACCAGAAAGAGCUUCUCUCUGGUCUGUUAUUUUAAGAAAAACAUGCCCAGAGGGGCCACCUGGAAGCAAGGCUGUGUGGCACCCUCACCUUCCUAAUUAAACAACAACUUCCCAGGAGCAACGACAGCAACAACAGCCUGGCCCAGCAGAUGAACUCGAAUCAAUCCAAGCCCUUCCCCUAUACGGGUCAGUUUGGGCACUACUUUACCUGCUGUGAAGUCUACUGGGAUCUUCCAGGAAAGUCCCACCUCAUUAGUAAAAAGAAAAACAAAGACUCGGGAAGAAAGUUCCUGCCCUCCCUGUUGAAUGCUGUGUGAGGAUAAGAUGUCUGGAGCAUGGCAGUCACCCUGUGACUAUCAGAAGGCCAGGCGUACCACAAGGUGGUCAUUCCAGUGCUCUGAAUCAGCCCCAAACCACUUCCCUCAAGACUCAUGUUCUGAGGUGAUUAAAAGUGUGCUUUGAAGGUAAAUCUAGGAUGACAGUCAACAGAUCAGUGAUUGCCAGGAGUCAGGGGUAGAGGGAGGGAAGAACAGAUGGAGCACAGAGAAUUUUUAGGGCAGUGAAAAUGUUCUGUAUGAUACUAUAUAUAAUGGAUACAUGCCAUUAUACACUUGUCCAAAUGCACAGAAUGUACACCACCAAGAGUGAACCCUAAUGUAAACUAUGGACUUUGGGUGAUCAUGAUGUGUCAAUGCAGGUUCGUCAAUUGCAACACACGUACCAUUCUAGUGGGGGGUGUUGAUAACAGGAGGCUAUGCAUGUGUGGGACCAGGGGAUAUAUGGGAAAUCUCUGUACAUGCCUCUCAAUUUUGCUGAGAAUCUGAAACUGCUCUUAAUGAAGUCUUACAAAAAUAAAGAAGUCUGCUUUGCCUUA